UUCUUGCAUGACAACCAGAAAAACUGAGGCUCAGAGAAGUUGUGACCUUGUCCAAGGACAUAUAAUGAAACAAUGAUAUUCCUGAAAUUUGAGCAGGGCUCUUCACGUACUUUAUAAGGCCUCUAGGGAAGUUACUGCUUAGCAAAUCAUGAUGAUGAACUCACCUGACAGCUUGCCCUUCUCCCUCUGAAGAGACUCUAGGUUCAACUCCAGGAAGACCUGAAAGGAAUGACUCACAGUUCCCAGCAGCAGUGCCAGUUUAUGUGCUGGGAUCCUGACCACAAAUGUAAUGAUCAGGCCAGGGAGUCAUAUUUCUGCUGGAUUUAGAAAAGCAUCUAUGUGUUUGUGAAAGAAACCCGAUGAGUUGAUAGUGCUGCGGCUCUUGGAGGAUCCCAAUCUACCCCUUCUCCCCAGCCAGAAGCAUGGCUAAGGGAGGAGGAAGGAAGGCAGCAGAGAGCAGUUCUGUGGUGUUCUUGGUCACACAUUUAUGGAGUUUCUGAAGGGCAGUGGAGAUUACUGCCAGGCACAGCACGACCUCUAUGCAGACAAGUGAACUGUAGAAAGUUACUACUACUCCACCAAGAAACCCCCAUAAGAGUGGUUAACCUGGACACAGAAGUGUUGAAUUGAAAUCUGCAGAGCAUUUUACAAGAGUUCUGACCUGGAUGGGGUAAACCUCAGUGCACUUCUUUAUAUUGCCUCAGUAUUACUGGAUUGAAGAAUCGCUGCUUCUUGUUAGGAGGUUCAUUUCAUUUCCCAUUACUCCCAACUUCAUAUGCAAAGCACUGAGAAUUUCAAGUGGAGUAUCUUGAAGUAGACUUCAGUUUCUUUACAUCAUUUCUGUAUUCUUUUUUUUUUUUUUUUAAUUCUUUCAUACCUUAUUGAGUGUUUUUUAACUAAAUUAAAAUGGCUCGAAUGAACCGCCCAGCUCCUGUGGAAGUCACAUACAAGAACAUGAGAUUUCUUAUCACACACAAUCCAACCAAUGCAACCUUAAGCAAAUUUAUAGAGGUAAGGUUUGACACUUUGUAAUGUCUUAAGUUGAUUUCAUUUUAACAAGGAUGUUGUACCUGGGAAAAUAGCUAUUACUUUUGAGAAUUUUGAGAUAUUUACAUAUAGCGGAAAUUCCUAGAAAUGAAACGUUGAUAACUUCUGUACGCUAGAGGAAAAUUAUUUUAUAGAUUUCAAGAGGGGACAUAUACUUGAAUUUAGUUUGGAUUUACCUCUUGGGUUGUUUGCUUAAUUUAAAUCUUUAUAUGUGGACAGUGUAACAGUAUAGCUAUCACCUGUAUGAAAUUUGUAGGGUAAAUGCUGUCGUCGUUGAAGUUUUCAAAUAUUUACCGACUAAUGCCAUAAACCAAAGUUUAGGUUGUGUCUUAGACUCCCUAUUUGCUAUUUAGAACCCAUUUUCUCCUUGUUAAUUUUGGUUUUUCCUUAAGGUAGCUAGGUGCCCAAGACUGUUUGACUACUUACCUCUUUUGCCUCUAGGAAGGACUGUAGUGCAGAAUAAUUUAGUUGGCCCAUGCACGUUUUAUCUUAAAAAUAUCUACAGGUACUCAAACAGCAUAUGACGCCUCACCAGUUGGUAAUACUUCAUUGGUGUUUUUAUUUUUGAUUACCAUCAAGAUAUUAAAUGCUUGGAGAGAUAUAAUUGGAAAAGCAUUAUGAGCCUGUAGUUUUAAAUGGUAUGUGUAAAGAGUGUGUGUGUGUUUUAAACUGUAUUUUCAGUAUUCUGGAGUCUCUGUAUAUACUUUUAAGGUUCUAAAUUACACCGUACUUCAAAUGAAUAAAAAUUGAAGAAAUUAAUAUAAAUGAGUGAAGUCAGAUUAUUUCUAGUCAUGAAUGAGUCCUUUGAUUCUUUUGACCUUUGUCCUGUUGAUUCUACCUCUCUUAUUAGUGUUUCUUCCCCUUUUGUCAAGAGUAUUUAACUAAAAGAAAAUAGGUGUGGGUUUGUAACGUUCCCUUUUUGCUGGUCUAGAAUUAUCAUUUAGAACAAGAUUUUGCUAACAUGUUGAACAUACCUAGGUUGUACUGUUUCUUCCAUAAUUUUCAAUUACCCAGCAAUACCAAAUCGAGAGAUGAGCAAAAUAAAUGAUAAAUAGUAAGAGUGUGUAAUAGUGAUGCAGUUUAGAAGAUUUCAUCCUGUUCUUCUAUUGUGUGUUUUAUCCAGGAACUUAAGAAGUAUGGAGUUACCACAAUAGUAAGAGUAUGUGAAGCAACUUAUGACACAGCUCUUGUGGAAAAAGAAGGCAUCCGUGUUCUUGUAAGUAACUGUUCCUAUGUUUCUUAAUAACUGCUACAAAAAUUUUAUUCAAAAAUAAGCUACAGACCUUAAAACGUUU
rnacentral:lncRNA from 1 species